rnacentral:rRNA from 1 species
ACCUGACGCAGCAACGCCGCGUGAGGGAUGAAGGCCUUCGGGUUGUAAACCUCUUUUAGUGGGAACGAACAAUGACGUAACCCAUAGAAGAAGCACCGGCUAACUCUGUGCCAGCAGCCGCGGUAAUACAGAGGGUGCGAGCGUUAAUCGGAAUUACUGGGCGUAAAGCGCGCGUAGGCGGCUUUGCAAGUCGGGUGUGAAAUCCCCAGGCUCAACCUGGGAACUGCAUUCGAGACUGCAUUGCUAGAGUAUGGGAGAGGGAAGUGGAAUUUCCGGUGUAGCGGUGAAAUGCGUAGAUAUCGGAAGGAACAUCAGUGGCGAAAGCGACUUCCUGGACCAAUACUGACGCUCAUGUGCGAAAGCGUGGGGAGCAAACAGGAUUAGAUACCCUGGUAGUCCACGCCAUAAACGAUGAGAACUGGAUGUCGGGAGGGUCUGCCUCUCGGUGUCGUAGCUAACGCGUUAAGUUCUCCGCCUGGGGAGUACGGCCGCAAGGUUG